UCUUUUCUUCAAAGAAAGCUGCUGCAGAGAUCCUCGCUGAAAUCUCCUUUGCCUGACUUAAGAAGAGAAGAUUAAUGCUACUAAUUUCAGUUAUGUGAAAACUGUGAGCUGAUAAAGGACCUGUAUGCUUUUUAAAGCAAAUAUUAAUAGCAGAAAGAGGAAUAUUCCUAUGCUGUGGUGGGAAUAAUUGUGAUAUCCAGUUUAACAAAAGUUGUAAGACAGUUGGAUUCUUUACGAACUGGAUUAGAGAAAUGCAAAAUACUAAUACCAAGCACUUUAACCAUAGGCUGCAUAUAAAUCCACAAUAACAGAUUAUUUUAUCCUUUUGUGGAGAUAUGAUGACUGCAUUACCACGUUUAAAGUUUCUCUCUGUCUAGCUCUCCUAAAUAUGAAGAGUCUCAAGCAUCUUUUUAAUAGGAGAAAAAGCUGUUAUUUACAAGCGAGUUUUCUCACAGGCUCUUCAAAACUCUCCCCAGCAUUUCAGUAUUUUUAAAAUGGUAACAGGCAGAAAUGGAUAUGAAAUUCCAGUACUUAUCUUACCUACUCUAUACGUGUAAGUAAAGUCUUAUCUAUUUGUCUACUACCUAGUUUCUUGUUUAUUUACCUGUGACUUGUGUUAAACCCUUGGUUAUAACAUCACAAGAUGCCCAGUUAUUCACCACCAACUGCAAAUAUUGGAAUGGUUUUACCAGGGUACAGUCCCCAUGUUCUGCCUGUAUGAGUUGAGCUUCUGUUUUUUGUAAGGAGAUUUUUUGACCUUGAUGUGAAAUUUAGCGUGUGGUUAUGUCUACCAAGUAUUUGAAGAAUUUUCUAUUUCAGUUUCCAGUUUUUACGUUGUAAGAGUGGCUAAUAUAAAGAUGUUGACUAAGAUGGUGGUAAAUAGUCAAAGGUUAUUAGCAAAGGGAAAGUCACCAAUGUCAAUGCCUUGACUGGAAAGCUGAGGCAGUCUCAACUGGGGAGCAACCUCCAAGAGAUGCUGCCUCAGUGGUGGUUAGCCCUUAAUUGAGGUCUCAGAGGAGGUGGAGUUGAAGUCCACCCCCUCCGGGAGCACAGCUAGAUUACUCUCACCUGUGCUCCUGCAGCUGACCCAACACUCGCC
rnacentral:lncRNA from 1 species